AUUAUUUAAUACAUUAAAUUUUAUUGUUAUAUUUAUAAAUUUGUGUCUUCAUUCCAUGGGGCUUCCAAUACUUUAGACUCUGAGUGCCACUUACUCACGUGCCUAAAUCUAAAUGUAAGUUCUUUUCGAUUAAAAUAUCUAAAAAUACGUGUUUGGUGUGAACGCGCAAAUUGUCACAUCUGAUAUCGGAAAAAAUCCUGACUUAGCUGUUUCCGCUCGGCAGUUAAACUCUUUCCUUCUUAAAUUACCGACCGCGAGCCCAUAGUUGGUAUCAGAAAUGGGAUAGUACGACUAAAGGUCCCGCAACAGGAGAUAAAAAUCUUUUUUCAAAAAAUUUAUUAAAUUGCGUUUAUAACUAAAUAGAGUACGAUGGCACAGAUUCAGGAGAGUAGAUUUGGAGGAUUGACCCUGCCAACUUUCAUUUUGGCGAAUUUGGUCCUCAAACCAGGGUGUUCUUUGUUCAGUUUGAGAGCAUUGCUCAUUUUCUUCAGUAGGGACCUGGAAAAAGAUUAUGCCGCGCCUUUGCCAGUAUGUCGGGCUACGCUCGAGACUUUGCUUCUUCCGUUAUUCAGCACGGGCGAAUAAAUAUCUAUGCUCAAUUCAAAUAGGUGAUGACGAGUUGGUUCAAUCCUGAACCAAUGCCGGAACCGCCUUACCAAAUCUGUUGGUGUUUCAGCUGAUAGGAGAGUCAGUCGAGCAAUAUAUUAAACGCCUCUUGUAUUUAGUGGCGAAUAAUUAACUUGCUUCUAUCACUAGGUCCAUAUCGGCUAUCGAGCUGGAAAUGAAACUCAUUGCACAUUUUUUAGCCGGUCUCACCCCUCAUAUCUGUCGCGCAGUAUAUGCAACUUAUCCUUUUUCAUUUCAAGAAGCUUCGCGACAGCUCUGAGGAUGAAAAGGAAUUUUAUGACUCGCCCCUGUAGGGAAGAUUCGCUCCUGAGUCCAUUGCUUUCCAUUUCAUCCUUACAGAAUCCAAACCUCAUUCGCGCAGUCUCGAGAGAGAAACUGCGGCGAAAUCGGCCUGGUCGAGCUGCGAGUUCGGAAAUUUAAUUUAGCUUUCUUACAUAUUUCCUUGGGUGUCAGCAAGAGAGCGCUUGGGAUAAGCAGAACAUGUCUCCAAUACUCCUAUGGGUUCGGGGGAAGAAUAGGUCUACCAUGGCGAUCCUGUGGACGGCAAGAGCCCGUCAAAUGGAUUCGUUACCGCCAAAUGGUACAUGACCGCACGAAUCCGAGAUAGAAGGUGAUUUUUUUUUUGGUCAACGGAUGAUACCACUUUCCACUCAGUUAGAGUACUAAGUGGCAUAAGUGCCGGGGAGAAAUAAGCCCUUCCACAGGCUGCCCACCUCUGCGGAAGGGUCAGCCGAAUUGUGGAGGACGGGGAUCGACGGGCCUG
rnacentral:lncRNA from 1 species